AUGAAGAAGAUAAGCAUGACCUGCAUUAAAUUUUGGGAGCUGGUAAAAAGGAUUUCUGUUUCUGUUUGCAGAAUAAAUAACAGGAAAAGAAAGAAGGAAAGAAAGAAUGUGUACUGUCGCUCACCUUCUAGCCAACAGACUACAAAGGCAUAGCUUGCCAGGAUAUUCACUUUCCUCCUGAGUGUGAUUUAUUUUUCACAUGUAUCUGAUGUUGCCUCUUCCUUGGAUGUGGUUGGAACCUGCAGUGUCUUAUCAGCAAAAGGUUUGGCUCACUCUUGUAUGUGACUAGCAU
rnacentral:lncRNA from 12 species